ACACACACACACACACCCUUUAAACCUCCUAUGCUCCUUUGAGACCCCUUCUUUCAAAGGGACAGAGAUCUUCUAGCCAUGGGAUCAUCUCUAGCUGGUUCCUCUCAGCAGACAGCAGCUGCAGGGCCGGGGCCCAGGAUACACAUCUUCCUCUGUUGUGUGAGAGGGGUAUUCUCCCAUGUUUACCCCUCCAGGUCCUCCCCACACACAGAGACAGUUAACCGUGCUGCCAGAAAUAACAAUGAAAAGGACAACUACGCCCAGCUUGGAUUUAUUGAUAAAUAACUGGAUCGGAACAGAUUUCAUGCUAUAAAAGUAAUCUUGGUUAUUUUGCCCCUUUACUGUGUAAAAUGUAGUAGACGUAGAAUAUAGCUAGUACACUGUAAAUGUAGUAGACGUAGAAUAUAGCUAGUAUACUGUAAAUGUAGUAGACGUAGAAUAUAGCUAGUACACUGUAAAUGUAGUAGACGUAGAAUAUAGCUAGUACACUGUAAAUGUAGUAGACGUAGAAUAUAGCUAGUACACUGUAAAUGCAUUGACACUUCCAAGUGGGCAUUAUGGGAUAGGGUACAAAUAGGGCAGUUUUCAAACGUGAAAAUAAAACUGCAAAUCGACAAGAGACAAGAAGCAAUACAGAUUACAGGUCUUUUCAAACACAGAAUAUCCCUUUAUUUAAACAAACAUAAGUUAAAUCAUUGAUAUUUUCCAAAAGCUCAUUCUCAAGGUUCCAUUG